ACGCAUGCGUAGUUGUAUCUACCGGUCUCCGCCAUCUUGAGAGUUGUACGUUGUAUUUCGCACGUAGUUUGUACUUUUACUCAUUUUUUUGUGUGGCGUCUAGGAUCGUCUUUUACUUGUAGUUGUCUAAAGGAUAAACAAAGAUCAUGGCAGAAGAAGAAAAGAAAUUUGAACUGAAGACUGCUCCAUUUGAUGCAAGGUUCCCAUACACUAACCAGACAAAGAACUGCUGGCAGAAUUUUGUGGACUUCCAUCGCUGUUCAAAGAAGUUUGGAGAGGAAGAUGAGAAGUGCGUUUAUUUUCGAAAGGUCUAUAAAUCUCUAUGCCCUGAUAGUUGGGUAGAGAACUGGUCUGAACAAGUUGAGAAUGGCACCUUCCCUGGUCGUAUUUGAUGAUAUUUUGCUUGUUUGUGCGACUGGUUUAUUUCUUUUUGGAUUUGACUGUUUGUAAAUGGUGAUGCACUUUGACACAACUAUCAACUGUAUUGGUUUUGUUUGUGUACAAGAAGCUGAUAUGUUCUGGUGCAAGAGGCCUGUUAAAUAUUGUACCAUUUUAAUAGUAAUUAAUUGUUAAAAUAAAAGUGAUUGAUCACAA